rnacentral:rRNA from 1 species
CCUANGGGUGGCAGCAGUCGGGAAUUUUGGGCAAUGGGCGAAAGCCUGACCCAGCAACGCCGCGUGAAGGAUGAAGUAUUUCGGUAUGUAAACUUCGAAAGAAUAGGAAGAAUAAAUGACGGUACUAUUUAUAAGGUCCGGCUAACUACGUGCCAGCAGCCGCGGUAAUACGUAGGGACCAAGCGUUGUUCGGAUUUACUGGGCGUAAAGGGCGCGUAGGCGGCAAUUCAAGUCAUCUGUGAAAUCUCCGGGCUUAACUCGGAACGGUCAGAUGAUACUGCUUUGCUAGAGUGCGGAAGGGGCAAUCGGAAUUCUUGGUGUAGCGGUGAAAUGCGUAGAUAUCAAGAGGAACACCUGAGGUGAAGACGGGUUGCUGGGCCGACACUGACGCUGAGUGCGCGAAAGCCAGGGGAGCAAACGGGAUUAGAUACCCCGNUANUC